AAACGACAUUUCAGGCAGCUAUGAGGUACCAAAGAUUGGGUACUGGUCUUGAGUCCUGAAGAUCUCAGUUCAAAUCCUGCCUUAGACCCUUGUCAGCUCUGUGACUCAGGGCAAGUCACUUAACCAUCUCCCAGCCUCCCACGUCUGAAAGGGCAGAAGCUCCUGUCUUCCCACCCAUGUCCCAGUGGUGCCCCCAAAACAGCUAGUGGCAGUGAUUGCAUUAUUGUCUGCUAAGUGCAGCCUGGACUCAUGACUUCACAAGGAGCCCAGCAACGAGACUUCACCAUGUCCAGGGAAAACUUCUUGAGCAAUCGCAUGAAUGGGAUAAAAAGACAUACAGCCGUCAGAGAGAACCAGACCUUAUAGUAAAGAAUAAAAAAGAAAGGAAGAGUGGGAACAGUUUUGCAAAAUUAACCAAUACUGUGAACCCCACCCAGCUGCCCCCAAGGCUACACAGCUGUAAGUAGCAGAUUCAGAAAUCAAACCCAAGGGCUGCCCCCUCCACUACCUUCUGCUGCCCCUUCAGCACCAGAGGAUCUCACUCAGUGGCUCCGCUGAGAAUUGGCAAAGCUGGGCUUCUCUUAAAAGAUCGCCUCUCUCCACUUCUCAAGGGCCUGCCCCUGAAGAGAUGAUUUCUCAGCCCAGAAGACGGAAGGAGGAGCUUCUUUUUCCUCCCUGUUGAAAAAAAAAAUGUCCA